UACAGGGGGUGCAAACGUUGCUCGGAAUCAUUGGGCGUAAAGCGCACGUAGGCGGUUCGUUAUGUCGGAUGUGAAAGCCCUUGGCUUAACCGAGGAAGUGCAUCCGAAACUGGCGAGCUAGAGUACGAAAGAGGAUCGCGGAAUUCCCGGUGUAGAGGUGAAAUUCGUAGAUAUCGGGAGGAACACCGGUGGCGAAGGCGGCGACCUGGUUCGAUACUGACACUGAGGUGCGAAAGCGUGGGGAGCAAACAGG
rnacentral:rRNA from 1 species